CAGCAGCCGCGGGAAUACAGAGGGUGCGAGCGUUAAUCGGAUUUACUGGGCGUAAAGCGUGCGUAGGCGGCUAAUUGAGUCGGAUGUGAAAUCCCCGAGCUUAACUUGGGAAUUGCAUUCGAUACUGGUUAGCUAGAGUGUGGGAGAGGAUGGUAGAAUUCCAGGUGUAGCGGUGAAAUGCGUAGAGAUCUGGAGGAAUACCGAUGGCGAAGGCAGCCAUCUGGCCUAAUACUGACGCUGAGGUACGAAAGCAUGGGGAGCAAACAGGAUUAGAUACCCCAGUAGUCCCUGUCUCUUAUAA
rnacentral:rRNA from 1 species